UACGUAGGGUGCAAGCGUUGUCCGGAAUUAUUGGGCGUAAAGAGCUCGUAGGCGGUUGUCGCGUCUGCUGUGAAAACCCGAGGCUCAACCUCGGGCCUGCAGUGGGUACGGGCAGACUAGAGUGCGGUAGGGGAGAUUGGAAUUCCUGGUGUAGCGGUGGAAUGCGCAGAUAUCGAGGAGGAACACCAAGUGGCGAAGGCAGAUCUCUGGGCCGUAACUGACGCUGGAGGAAGCGAAAGCUGGGGAGCGAACAGGA
rnacentral:rRNA from 1 species